AACUGCUGUGUUGGUGACUGCCUUUCACAGUUUUCUGAUCUGACUCCUUCUUCGACGUGGGUGGUCUGUCGCGACGGUGACGUAUGCCGGCCUUGCUGCUGGAAACGAAGCCCCGCUUUGCCUGCCCCUCUGGUUCUUCCAGGUCGAAAUCUGGGGCAAGACGGCACGGCGGUUC
rnacentral:other from 1 species